rnacentral:rRNA from 1 species
GACGAACGCUGGCGGCGUGCCUAAUACAUGCAAGUAGAACGCUGAAGGAGGAGCUUGCUUCUCUGGAUGAGUUGCGAACGGGUGAGUAACGCGUAGGUAACCUGCCUGGUAGCGGGGGAUAACUAUUGGAAACGAUAGCUAAUACCGCAUAAUAGCAGUUGUUGCAUGACAACUGUUUGAAAGGUGCAAUUGCACCACUACCAGAUGGACCUGCGUUGUAUUAGCUAGUUGGUGGGGUAACGGCUCACCAAGGCGACGAUACAUAGCCGACCUGAGAGGGUGGUCGGCCACACUGGGAAUGAGACACGGCCCAGACUCCUAAGGGAGGCAGCAGGAGGGAAUCUUCGGCAAUGGACGGAAGUCUGACCGAGCAACGCCGCGGGAGUGAAGAAGGGUCUCGGAUCGUAAAGGUCUGUUGUAAGGGAAGAACGAGUGUGAGAGUGGAAAGUUCACACUGUGACGGUAUCUUAACAGAAAGGGACGGCUAACUACGUG